CAAAAACUUAUUUCAAAAUCCCUUAUUUUGACUUAUGCUGUUUGACAACUUACAUUGCUCACCAUGAUAAUAGGCACAUUUUACGUCCUGCGUCCACCAAUUUGCUAGCACGCAAAUUAGGCUUCUCCGAAGCACCCAGUGAUUUUCAAACAAGUUCAGUGAUUAAAACUUAAACAUACACACAUAUACAUAUAUACCAUAAAGAUUCCCUACCAAACUGCUUUAGCUGGUUAAAUCAUGGCGGAAUGCUCGUAUGCCAGAUGUCUGCAGGAACGUCGUUUAAUUAAACGUGAACUCAUGAAAUGGUCCAAGGAUAUGUUGCAUAUAGUCGGCUUAGAACGGAUCGCUGAGGAGUUGAUGGAACGCAUGAAAUGGAAGCAAUACCAAGAGCCAUUAACUACGCGCGUCCAUACAAACAAUCACACCGUACAAUCGCCAGCCGAAACAGCAGCAACAGCAGAAUUGCCAGCAGCAACAGCUGCCGCCAGUACAGCAGCGACCUCAGUAGCCCCACAAAUCCCAGUAGAACGGCAAACAUCCACAGAGUACGAUCAACAACAACAAAAACACAACGAUCAGCCUGUAGAGGAGCAGAAGAUUACACAUUUUCAGCAACAAAAAUCGAUCAACGAUCUCGCAGACACCACGAGUGCGCCGUCAUCAUCAUCAUCACCAACAUACGGCCAGAGCAACGGCACUGCAACAGACAACAACAACAGCCAACACAAUCUGCAAUACGAGCAGACACACGAGCGCACACUCGGAGGCGGAACGAACGCCGAAGAACAGCAACAAAACAAAGGAAAUACGCAACAAAGCAACUGCGUAGAAGACUCCAAAAAGUGUAAGCAGGAUCGGGAGGUGCAAGCUGUUACAGACAAUACAACAACAUCACAUAAUCACAACCAACUUCACCGUAAUAACAGUAAUAGUAUAACAUUAAAUAAUAAGACAAAUUGUGGCAACCACAACGGCAACAACAACAACAACAAUAAUACAUCAAUAAAAGUAACGAAUUCAUCACACACAAACACAACAACAACAAACAUCACAAGCGUUAACGCCAAUCAGAAUAGUUUGUCAAGUCUAACUACAUCACCACCGUCAACGCAUCCACCGCAGCGUGCCACUGAAGCGUUUGAGGGGCAGCGUACGCCCACCAUUGAACCGGUCGAUUGGAAGCCGAAUGAGAAGUGUUAUUUUUGUGUGGACGGUAGAUUACUCACGGUGAACGCGAAGGGAGAACUAGUAGCCGAGCCGGCGGGCCCCAUUGUGUCCGCCGUCGGCGGCGAUUCAGUGGAACACGUUCACAGGCUUGAGACCGAUAGCGAUUCGAAUGAAUCAGCGCAUGCGAAUUUGGUGAAUAGUACAACAACUGCGCCUGUUGUAAACAACAACAAUAACAACAGUAAUAGUACGAAUAACAUUAACAACAACAAUAAUAAUAAUAACAACAAUCGCAUCGACUGGAACAAGCUGUUGACGACACGUUUAGUUGAUUUGCCAGCGAAUAUGACUUCAAUGGACUCAAUGGCCGCGCAGUUAGCAGUCAUUUCUGGUUACCCAAAUUUUAAUUGGCUACAAUUAAUGCAACAACAGCAACAGCAAGAGCAACAGCCACAUCCCGCACCGAUACAACUGCAACCACAGCCACAACAACAGCAUCAGCAGCAGCAACAACAACAGCAACAGCAUAUAAGUUCGGCGACACCAACUACCUCAGAGACAUCGGCCGCCGCUGUUAGUCCACCACUCAAGGAUUCGCCCAGUCCCAGUGAUGCCACCGGUGAACAACCCUUAGAUCUUAGUUCGAAACCAUCGCCAAACUCAUCUAUUAGCGGCGAUUUGAAGUCAGUGCGCUCUAAGACGAUGCGCGCCACGCCCACACUCUCUUCACGUCGCCCCUGCACCGAUGAUGCAUUGAGCAGCGCCGUACAAGAAUUUCUCAGCGAAAAGUAUAACACACGCAAAUCGUCAGACCAUUACGCGGGCAGUUCGAGCACGAGCCCAGGACGCGCCAGAUCCAAUCGCACCGGAGUGAGUGGCAAACGUGCGAAUGCCCACCUAGCCAAUGCGCUCUUACACGGCAUGGACGUGGACAAGGAUAUGUCCGGCGAUGAAUGCAGUACUGGCGAUGGCCAUGCAGGCAUAGCUGGUGGCCAUUCGAGUAAUGCUUCAACACCACAACCAGAAACCGCCACACACACUGCACUCGAGGAGCUCGCCAACCGGCUGAACGCGACACAUUCUCUGCGUAAAUAUUGUGUGAAUAAUGGCACCGGUGAUGCGGGGCGACGCGAUGCCGCCAAUGAUGUCGGCAAUUGCAGCAAUUUAUCACCAAAGUCGAACGCAUUAUACGUAGAUGGCGCUAAGUGUGACGCCGGUACACCGUCGAGCAGCGCUACGCCACAGCCGCAGCAAUCACCGCCAGCAGCUGGACUUGAUCCCACAUUAGCGAUUUUGCAGGCAUUCCUCUUUACGCUCACCAGCUUCGGCGCUUUACAGCAACGUGCCGAUCAGCCGGUAACGCUGCGUGAUUUGGUGGCCAAUUUGAAGGAUAUGUUGGAAACACAUACCGCGGGUGAUUUAAGUGUGGAGGGUCUUUUCAGCAAUGGCAAGCCCAAUAUAAUGGAUCAACCGUUGUUGGCGCAGAAGCUGCAACAACAAACGUCAGCGUAUGCGGCACAACGCUUGCCCAAAUCAGAUACACCAGAGACCACGAGCUCGUUGGAGCACCAUGAGCCGAUUGGUGAUGAUCUGGCUGCGUCGAUUCUUAAGAUUCCGUCCUAUAAGCCAGUGGCAGGCACGCCGACGCCCACAUCGGCUGCAGCACGUGCCUCAUGCUCGCCAUCCUUGCUGUGCAACAAUUCCACCGCCAACUCCAUGCCAAAUCCCAACGGCGAUAGUCCGCAUUCCGCGCCCUCCCCACGCAUCGCCAACUCUAUGCUGGCCGCUGCUGUGGCGGCCGCUAGCAAUAAUGGCAACGCCGCAUCUGCCGGCCGUCAGGGCAAUAAUGAUCUAUCUGUCAUUUCGCCGCCACUAAUGCAGCACCGCCAAUCACCACCGUCGUUCAGUUUUCGCGAUAUGAUCGCACAUGGCAUUCACCGCACUAUGAACGAGCAGGCAAAUCAGGACGCGCAUGUCGCCGCCGCUGCUGUUGCUGCAGCUUCAGCGCCAAUGCUGGGCCUGUGCUUAGAAAUGGAGCGCUCGUCUAACAACAAUAGCGGCAGCAGUACGGAUCAUAAGAAACCUACUAUAUCGGUGGUGAAGAAUAUAGGUGGCACCGAUACAACACGGUUUGGUGCUGCACCCAAUGUCUUGGCCGGUUCGAGUGUGGCUGGUAGCAGUAGCAGCACGCACAACUCACAUGGAUAUCAUCAGGCGCACAUGCAUCAUCAUCUGCCACAUCAUCUAAGUCGCCAAGAGGCGGCAGCGCUUGCCGCCGGCAAAGGUACCCGCCCGAAACGUGGUAAGUACCGCAAUUAUGACCGCGAUAGUUUAAUCGAAGCAGUGCGCGCUGUGCAGCGCGGCGAGAUGUCAGUGCAUCGUGCGGGCAGCUAUUUCGGUGUGCCUCAUUCAACGCUCGAGUACAAAGUGAAGGAGCGACAUUUGAUGCGACCGCGUAAGCGUGAACCCAAGCCACAGCCCGGACUGGAUGGUAGCAGCAGCACGACAACGGGCAAAUCAAACUCUAACAUUCCUGUUCAUCACAACAAUCUGAGCAAAAUCAAGUUGGGCAACGCUGGCAACAGUAAUGUGAAUUCUAAGCUCAACGAAGCGCAUAAGGGCAAUAGUAACUCAGCAGCGGCCGCAUUCCCAACCAGCGCACCGAACGGCAUAAAAAUGCCGCUUUUCGAUCCCAUCCAAUAUCCAGCACAUUUAUUUUGGAAUCCCUCGCCAGCCUUUAGCCAAAUGCAUAUGGAAUUCAAUCGCAAUGCAAUGGCGGCGCAAAGCGCCAGCGCGGCCCAACGCUACACCGAAGAAGCGCUACGUGGCGUUGGCGGCACAUCAGCUGGUACGCCUUCUAACGCCAACAGCCCCAGUCCUAUUGCCAGUCCGUUGUCGGCUGCGACAAGUCAUACACUCAAUAUGAAGAGUGCGCGUGAGCUGGCCGAAAAUUUGUAUGAAAGCGCUGGCGCCAAUGGUUCCUCAAUACUCGACGGCAUCAUACGGAAAACGCUCGAUCGCAAAAGCACCGAUGUGGGACCGCCCAACAGUGCUAGCACUGGCGGUGCACUACUGGACCACUUGCUGGUCAAGAAAAGUGCACUACCACCAUAUACCAGCAAUAACAGUAACGAUCAUCGCUCACCCCACGCCAUGAGCAGUCUACGCGCCAAACGCGCCGCCAGUCCUCUUGCUUAUACCGAAAUCAAACGUGAACGUGGCAGUCCGCCACACAGUAGCGGUGACGACGAUGACGACGACGCCUCACGCAGCGGCAACGACGAAAGUAGCUACGAGCACAACAACAAUAACAACAGCAAAGGUAGUUACAUCGGCAAUAAUGAGUUACACCUCCAGCAUCAGCCCUUGCACCAUCAACAACACAGUCGCAGUCGCAGCCGCUUAACCUCCCACGACUCUGCCGAAACCGAUACGAGCAGCAUACCUAGCGAGCUCAUGACGAAUCACAACAACGGCAACAAACUAACCGCUGAUCUUAAUGGAAAUGGCGGUAGCGCGACCAUGAGCGGUAUGCUGCCCAAAGUGGAACCACCGCUAGAAUUUGGACAUGCACCGCCCACAUUGGGUAGCACAUCCAUACUACAGGAAAAGUUGGCGCAAAUUAAGGCCGAGCAGGAGAACGAAGAGCACUUAUAGAGAUGAAUGAAGCCAUAUGGCAUGUCGUUACAUUAGCGGUACUAAAACGCUAAGGGGUGUGGGGGGGCAAUUAAUAAUGGUGCUGAUUGUAGGCUCAGUAAAAGGGCGCAGAGCCAAACGGCACCGACAGGCGUACAAAUCUACCUAGAAUCCAAAACAGAACGGGCAUAGCAGUAGCAGCGAGGCACAGCGGCAUACCCUCGAUCUGCAGGCAUGCUAGAGCAAAAGCUGUUGGGCGAAAGAAACUUCAACUUGUGGCACUCAUCAUGCCGAACGUUAGUUGGGAUAUGUACUCAGAGAUCGGGAUUGCCGAUCGAUGGUCGCUAACGGUAAUCGGUUCAAACAGAAGUCAAAAUUGAAGUGCGGCAAUUUAAGCUCUUAGUAUAUAAUUACCUAGCAACCACACACAUGCAGCCAUGCAUACAAUUAGUACAUACACACAAGUAUAUAAUAUGCUAAUAUAUUUAGGAGAAAUUAUGUACACAAGCGUACAUACAGAACAGACAUUUGUGUAUGAAUGAAAUGUACAGUUUAUACCCACACAACAAACAGGCAGACAAAGGAAGUUCAUAAGUGUAGAGAGGGUUAGAAGUGGAGAAGGCAGAGAUGGCGAAGCAAUGGGCUGCUUAUAUGUAUAUAUAGACAAAAUUGAAUUUAUAGUGCAAUUGUUUUUUAAAAAACGAAUUAAAGUAGUGAAAAUCUUUAAGCGUGUGAGCACGUUCUUACUUUCAAAUAGAAACAUUAAUGGCAAUGUUUUUGUUUAAUAAUAUUUUUCUCUAAUUAUCUUAUUAACGCUUUUUUAUGUGUAAAUGUUUUGAAACAUGAAAGAAAAGGACUCAAAGGACUUUUUUGUAUUUUUUAACAAAGUGAAAUGUUGCUAUAAUUUUUAAAAUUUACAAUUUAUAUUGUUGAUAUUUACCAACAACAACAAUAUUGCAUACGUUAAGCGAAAUUGAAAUCAAAAAAUUCGCAUUGCGCGUUACGGUCCUUUGGACUGUGAGCGGCGAAUGGCAGAACGCAUAUUUAUAUUUACUAUAUUUAUAAUUACAAAACAAAUAAAAAAUAAAAACUUUUUUAUAUAUAUUUUACACAUAAUAAACGAAAAAUCCAAAUAAAAUUAAUAUUAAUCAUUCUAUUUUACAAAUAAAGGUAUUGUAUUUAGAUAUCUAUUAUAUUUGCUAUAUUGUUUGAAUGAAACGAGUUAAAAUUGUGUAAGCGCAUUUAAUGCAAUGCAAAGUAAACUGUAAUAUUAAUACUGAAAAUGUUGCAAUGACCUCGUGUACCAAAUGUAAUUACGAUCUGACUUGUUUAGUUGUUUGUGUAAACACUAUUUAUUAAUUUUUAUAUAAUAACCGAUGUUUACCAAAUAAGCGUAUGGUAAGCUCUUUAGUUGCGGUUAAGGUAAAGAAAACUAUAUAGAAAGGACGAAAAGCGCGUAAAAUGAUAAUUUCAAUAGACAAAAAAAAGGUGAUUACGAAAAAACAAGAUUAUUAGAAAUCUGCUACAUGCCACAAUUAAAAAAAAAAUUUUGUGAAAUUUACUGUAUUCAAAAAUGUAAACAAAUAUUUUGUCAGCAUAUUCACCAAAAACACACACACUUUCGAUAAUUAAAUCGACCCAAAGCAAGAAGGAAGAUUUUUCUUUGUUGGCAAAUAUUUAGAAAAUAUUUCUUCAUACUUUAUUUUAGCACACAACGUUUUUAUAUAAACAUAAAUACAACAGUUAAAAAUUUUGUAAACAUAAUUUAACAAACAUUUUAUUUUAAUACCCUCUGUGAAACUAAAACACAUACCAAGAUGACCAGAUUUACCAAAUAAAAGCGUUAAAUAAACAAAACAAAUCUUAAAAAUUGUGUAAUAAGGCACAUUGCAACAACAUACAUAAAUACAACUAAACCAAUUAAUUACAGCAUACACUCAAAGAGAUAAAAAAAUAAACCAAACAGCAAAACUUAAACAAACAAUAGUAAAAACAGCUUAUUUUCCAAACAAAACAAAUCAUAUAAGUGAAAAAGAGCAAUAGCCCAAAUAUAUAUAGCAAUGCUUUGUGUAUUGUAUAUAUAUCCAUCUACACAAUAUAUACAUAUGUACAUUCUACUAUAUACAUACAUAUACAAAUAUAUUGGAUAAAUCGCAAAAAAGCCGAAAAACUAUUGGUAAUUUACAGAAAUAAGAAACAAAACAAAACCCACAAUAGUAAUCUUCCCUCUCCACACGCACAAAAAUAUAAAACAACAACACUGAAUAUGUUAUAUAAAAAAUAAUUGAUUGCAAAUCAAAGAAAUUAAUAUA
rnacentral:misc_RNA from 1 species